UUUAUCUUUGUUUAGCAUAUUCCAAACAGCGGCGACAACAAACUUUUGAAAAAAAUUGGUGUCUGAUGAUUAUUCAUCUUUUAUAUACUAGGUUAUGUGAAAUAUCCGUCACUGUCAAUCAAAAAUAUUGGUUUGCCAACUUGUUCUUGAAAGUUAUUUCGAAAAGUAUUAGAUAAUGCCUAAAAAAAGAUAUAAUAGGUAUAAUGAACAAUCGCAGCUGAUGAUUUUAAAUAUAUUGGCUUUUUUUCAACUGGAAAAGGUCCGAAACGGAAUCGCACUUCAAAUUGAAAAUGUGAUACAGCGAGCCGCAGAUGCAACAAAAUUGAGCACAACAACGAUCGCAAAUAUAAAGAAGAAUGGGAUAAAAUCAGAUCAGGAUUACGCAGCCCGUAUAUCUUCCAAGCAAAAGACAGCAAAAACCAAAAUUACAACAUAGAAUUUGGGACACAAUUUAUUCUAUGUACGCCAGAAAAGAAUAAUGUAACAUUGGCAACAAUAAGAGAAAAGUUCAGGGAAGAAAUUGAAUAUUUUGAGUUUUCCAUUGACUCCUUAAGAAGAUGGAUCAAUAGUAUAGGCUUGAAGUGGAAAAAAUCAAAUAACAGAAAAUAUUUGAUGGACUUGCCAAAUAUUGUUCAUAAAAGAAUCAAUUUUUUAAGGGAGUAUAUCAAAAAUAGAAAUGUAGGUCCGGAAGGUUUUACUCCAGUUUUUUUUGACGAGAUGACACCAAGCACACGGAUUCAAGGAAAAACAGUGAAGGUCAUCGUUAUAUCGUGGUCCACGCCAGAACCAAAGAUGGCUUCAUCAAGGGUCCAAUUUAAUAUUCAAGAGUGGAUUAAAGACGGGAGAUUAUCAUGACAAUAUGAACAGGAAAAACUUCGAAAACUGGUUUAAAACUCAGCUGGUUCCAAAUCUUUAUCCCCCAAAGUCAUUUAUAAUCAUGGACAAUGCAAGUUCCCAUUCUAGUUUAUUAGAAGAAAUCCCGAGAAAAUCUUGGACAAAGCAGAGACUGACCGAAUGGUUGAAGAAAAAGAAUAUUGGGUUCUUAGAAAAAGCCAUGAAAGAUAAAAUAUGGAGUAUUGCACGCAGAAACUGCCCUAGUGAAAAAAAGUACUUCCUUGAUGAAUAUGUUAAACCUUUAGGACACAAAAUUUUGCGACUGCCACCAUAUCAUUGCCAGUUUAAUGCAAUUGAAAUGGCAUGGUCGGAAUGUAAACGAAAAUAUGAUCAAUAUAUUUCCAAUUUUAAGGGGUCACCUUCAGAAGUUCUGACUACAUGGGAAAGGGUAAUAAACGAAAUUUCUAUAGAUCAUUGGCAAAAAUAUGUUUUUCAUACAGAAAAGGUAAUUGAAAAGGCUUGGGAGGCAAUACAAGUGUGUGAUGCCUAUGACAUUCUGCCACUUGUGAUUACGACUGACGAAGACGACGAUGACGAAGACAAUAUCUCUGAUUUCAGUUCUGACUCUGACAAUACUGACGAAAUUGAUGAAGCUUUUUUUGUUCUAGCAAAUUUUAUUUUAUGAUCGUCGUUUAAGUAUUCAAUCAUAUCGUUGCAAUUUCAUUAACUUGGUAAUGCAAUAUGGCGUGUUUUUUUUGAGUUUGUAUGUUUUAUUUUUUGGAAUGGUAUUUUCAUUUUAAUGUGUUAACAUAUUCCUUCAAGCAGCAUUUUUUUUCAUGAACAAGUAAAUUAAAUUGUCAGUAUUUAAUUUUUUCCCAGUGAGUUAAAAUAAUUUUAUACCAUUAUUCACAAUUUUUGUAAGCUCGGUUUUGUUACGUAUACUGCUCGUGCCGAAUUCUACUUUUUAAAUAUGUUGUAGAUUUGGUUUUUGCGGUCUUUUGCUCGGAAAAUAUAUGAGCAGCGUAAUCCUGAUCUGAUUUUAUCCCAUUCUUCUUUAUAUUUGCGAUCGUUGUUGUGCUCAAUUUUGUUGCAUCUGCGGCUCGCUCUAUCACAUUCUCAAUUUGAAGUGCAAUUCCGUUUCGGACUUGUUAUUUAUGUCCCAUUAUUUAUGAUUAAUUAUAAUAAUAUUUGUUAGUUGUUAAGUUUGUUAAUAAUACAAUAAAUACUACAAGAUUUUUUUAAAUUUUUUGGGAAUGAAAGUAUAUACAAAGUAUAUACACCUCUCUCCAUUUUUCUCACCUGGAUGACGUAACUACAAAUGGGUAUAAUUUCGACUAUAGAGCUACUUCUGUUUCAGCUUCUACGAGAUUUUCCCAGAACGAUUUUCUGGAUUCAACCCUUGAAUUUUAGUUCAAAUGUUACUUUUUCUUUCUCUGGAUAUACCCCUCUCACAGAUUUUUUCAUUAGGGUGAGGUAAGGGCCCUGUUUCAUAUUUGGCUAAUAGGUAAUUCAAGGACUGAAAAUCUUCUAAAAAAGAUGUUUUAUAAUUCAAAGAUCUUUUUCCUCUUUCGAACUGAACCAAAACCAUAUCUUGUAAAUAGGGUUUGGGGUUAAUUUUCUUUAGUUUAUAUUGGGAGGUUAAAUCCGAAAAAGUAUAAAAAUUGUUUAUAUUCAUUUCUUUGACAAUUACCUUUUUUGAAUUAGCUAAAGUAACACAUUUGCUGAAAUCUUUGAAACCAUACACUUUUUUUUUAUCUUUUUAAGGCUAAUUCAACUUGAUGAUGAAAAGCAUCACCAGACAUAAAAGUGUGCCCAGGCUGAAAAUAUUUUAAAUUCAAAGUUUUUAGGUUGAUUUCGUUCGAAUUAAUUAUAUAUGUUAAAAAAGAAAAUAAUCCCCAGUUUUUAUUUUGGACCGCACAGUUGCCCAGCCAUGUGGUCACAUUUGGAGCAUCUCUCACGGCUAAUAAAAAAUUAUAAAAAGUUGAAAUAAUGUCAUCUCUGGAUCUUCCCGAUACACCUUCAUGCCAAAUAAAGGCAAACGGUUUUUCCUAGGAUUUCCCUAUUGGCACAAAUGUUUCUUUGAAUGCAAUAACUCUCGGCGUAAACAUAAUUUCUUUAAACAUUUCGCAUCUAGGAAGCAAUAUAACCUGUAACAGUAAAAAAAAUAAUUAUUUAAUUUUAAAUUGAAAGGUACCUCCUAGAGAUCAGCUAAAAAGUAUAAACCGUCUUUCGCAGCACUAUCCUGUUUAUACUUCUCCCUUGCUUUCCGAUAUGCAUCUUGAUGUUUCUUGAAUGAUGUACAUAUUUCACAAGUUUGGCAGAUAUUUUCUUUUUCAUGUUUGGUCGAGAUACAAUGUAAUCUAAAUGAUUCACAGUCAAAACACUCCUCAUGACCUAAAUUUGAAAACGAUAUAUUCAUUUUGGCAACAACUUUUCUAUACAUUUCAUAAGAAAUUUUAGCAUUAAGCUUCAAUAAAAAAUCUUGAUGCAUUGCCCUUAUUGUAAUAUCGCUUGGCAAGUAUCUUCGUAGUGGGGCGUGCUCCCGUCUGUAAUGCGAAAUUGUGGGUUGAAAGCUUUCAACAUGUUGUUCAAUCAAUGUUUCAUCAAAUUUAUUUUCUACCUCUAUUAUCUGGUUUUGGAGCAAUAGAUGUCCUUUCAUUUAUUAAAGUAACAUUUCUAAGAACACGGUCAUUUUUUAGUUCAUAUCCUAAUGUUGGCAAAAAAAAUUUUUUGCAAAAUUUUUGAUUGCAGCCAUUCUCAUCAGGUAAAUUAUACUAAACAGAUCUAUUUCUUCGGGAUCCUUCAGCAGCUAAAAUGAUUGAUCUUCUUUUAACACCAGUGGUGCUAGUUUUAUGCAAUAUAAAGGCUCGCCUUUCUUUUUCGUCCCAAGUCCCAAUAUUCCUGAUUCUGCCGUUGCAUACCGAUUUUUGUAAUACAUUUCUUUGUACACUUUUCACCACAGUUUUCUUUUACAGAUGAAUAUUUUUGUUAAGUCUAUUUUUUUUUCGUGUUGCAGGAGAAGUAUCAUACUUUCUCCUUUUCUUAAUUGUACCUUUUUUGUAUAAACAGCACCAUCCAAAUUUUUUGAAACUUCUUCAAUCAUAGUAUCUAGCAUUUUUUUAAUUUCUUUUGGAGUGUCUCUUUCUUUUAAGAUGGACAAAGGAAGGUCGUCUUCUUCUAAAUCUAAGAAUUCAUUUAUGUCAUCUUCCGAUGAACUACUGACUAAAUCCGCGUCCUUUUCAAAGUCUGAUACGACAAAGUCUCGGUCUUUAUCAGAAUCAUCACAAUCUUCCGAAAAAUUAGCAAAUGAUUUCAACGAACUAGUUAGCUCAUUUUUUUCCAUGGUAGAUUUUGUGGCAAGUUGCAUGAUUUUUUGAGUUCUGCUAUUCAUGCUAAAAUGAUGAAACAACGUAUUAGAGGCUUAGACCCGAGACUAAUUUUUCAUACUUUUCAGUACUAAAUUUAAUACAAUUAUAAAAUAUACAAACAACAAAAUACACAGUGAAAUUAGCACAACAAAUUAAAACAAGUUCUAGUUAGUAGUAGCAAGUUUUUAGAUUUGAAACACUUUUUACCAUAAAUAAACAAAAAACUACUUAUCUUUAUCUAUUUAUCGUCAAUAUUUCUCGAAGAAUAAGACUGCUUUAUUAUCAAACAAGGCACACAAAUUUAGGUUAUAUUGUUUGCACAUUCGCGAGCUUACGGCGAAAUUGUAAUAUACGACAAUUUUUGUUAGUAUCUGCCAUAUACGAACUUAAUAAGGACACUAAUUUUUUUUUGUUUUACUAGUCCUAAAAGGAACAGACGUAUAUGUGCGAAUAUGACAGUUUUUCUUAGCAUUAGCUAGAUCCGACAAGAUUCACUAGGAACCGUGGAAACUUGUUGCAGUUAUGACAAAUUUCAUAAGGAAAUUUUAGCCAUUAAUUUGCAAUAUACGACUAUUGUUUCUAGUGCAAUAGGUAGAAAAUUUUAUAUCAAUCCUAAAUAUUGUAUAAACCUAAUUUUGAUAAAAUUGUCAGAUAGAACGACCUUCUUUCUUAGGACGGCAGUAUAACUGCCGUAAUUCAAAUAUACCUAUAUAAAAUAAAUGAAGUAAAGCUGAAAAGCUGAUCCGAAGGAAAUAGUUAUUUCAAAGUAGAAAUUGGAAUAGCAUCUAAAGUUGUUCUGACAUCAAAGAAUUUGUGAGUAAUUUUUACUAAAUUCUUAAUGAAAUUUUGUCAGAAUGUGCACCAAUGUUAAACCAAGUUGAAAUAGGAGAUAUUAACUUAUUAAAAGCAUUAAAAAAGGGAAAAGGCUUUUGCCGUACAAGUAUAAUGUAAGUUAAUAAAUUAUAUUCUCCAGGUGGAUUUGUAAGUGUUUUUUUUUGUUUAAACGUACGAUAUAUUUUAAUAUUUGAAUAUAGUGUGAUGUAUGGACAAAUAAAUAUAUUUUUAAUUAA